GACAUAGGUGGCGAACGUUAUCCGGAAUUACUGGGCGUAAAGAGUGCGUAGGUGGUUCAAUAAGUUACUGGUGGGAAAUCGGGGCUCAACCUCCGUGGAAGUCAGUAAUACUAUUAAACUAGAGGGUCGGAGAGAUUAACGGAAUUCUAUGUGUAGCGGUAAAUGCUUAAAUAUAUAGAGGAACACCAAACGGCGAAGGCGAGUUGAACU
rnacentral:rRNA from 1 species